AUGAUUAAUGCAACGUUCUCCGUUUAUUCAAGAUAAGGUGGUAGUUUAUAUAAGCUUCCACAUAGUUUACAGAAACAAAGACACUCUAAUUGGUAGGCUAACAUUGUUUACCUUUCCCUUAAAACGGCCUACACUUUACACCAUAAAACCUAUACUAAUUCACACCCCGUGGUCCCCACAGUACUUUAAGACUAUUUUCUAUCUGCGCCACAACCCUGAAUUUCUAACUGCGUCAGAGGCUUUGAGGGCCCCACCAGGCCUCAAUCUGAGGCCUAGCCUGGAGUAGCUCAACUUUCACAAUUCAUGCCCUCUUUCUCUUAAAAAUGCUGUAACAAUUCCCUCUUUUUCUUUUGAGCUACUCAGGCUGGAGUGAAGGCUCAAUGAACUAAUUUUUGCACACACUGUCUUUGACCCAGCCAGAAAACCCUGAAGAAUUGAGCCAGUUAUCAAAUGAAGUGUCCAUUUGGAGAACACUGCGUUUGGCUCGUUGAGUCUUCGGAGGCAAUUCGAGAACCUGAUGUAUGGUGGGAGCAAAAAGCAUCAACCUACCGAUAUAACAUGGGCCUCCCCUAGCAUUUUGAGGGACUGCUGACCAGGCUCGGUCCCCACAAAUGAGGAAGGUUCCUGGGGGCAGUUUUCCUGCACUACCUCUUGGCGGUGUCACAGAUUGAGUCGAAUUGUUACAAUAUUCUAAAUAGUUGUAUUACAAUGGUGAUCUGGGAGACAAUCAAGUGUUGUCAUCUGUCAAUUUUCCAUUUUCUUGAGUUGGUUUGGUAGCAUAAGAUCCAAAUAUCAAACAGUAAUUUCCUGGGACAGAACCCAAAAGACCAAAUUCUUGAAAACUAUCAUCAGUAAAUUUAAGGUUUUGCACAAAUGCAACAGCUUGCGCUCCCAGAGUGCUAUUUAAACUUAUUUGAGCUCAGGUCCAAGUCUUGAACUCUGCCAUGGGACCCAACGAGACUCCAAAAAUUAAACAAGUACGAAAUAAAAACAUUGAGGCCCACCACAUUCUUCUCAGGUUCUUGAAUGCCCUGUCUAACAUGAAAGAAACAAUCUUAAUUCUAAACAUAAACUAUAACUUCUAAUAAACUAACUUCUGAUAAAUCUAACUUCACACUUAUGAUAUUUCAACUUAUUUUUCUGUUUCAUCUAUUUUUAAAAUUCUGUUUCUGCCUUUUCGUAUCAAUGCAGCAAGAGCAUCUGUCCUGUCCAUCACACGACUUCUUGGUUGGAUGGGUAAAAACACUCACUCAAGUAGAAUUUCUGCUGAUCCCCGUUGGGACCUCCCUCUUUUUCUUUUGCCAUUGAAAGACAAUGGCAAGAUGAACAGAAAAAUCACAGGCAUUACUAAAACUUAUUAAAAACUUAGCAAAAAAAAAUUCUAUAACAUCAUUAAAAACACACUUAUAAAAAAAAAACUCAAAGCCCACGAUCUUCUGUGGGUGAAACACAAAUCUUUGCACAAUCCACUUUUGCUGUGCAUCCUCUGAUCCACUUGUGGAGAGAUCAGUGUCCUCUUGCAAUUGAGAAGUUCCACAUCCUUCACUGAAAUCCAUUUUGAUUCUGCACCUGUUAAAACACAAACAAACCCAACACUCCCACAGGGACUGGAGGGUCCUCUCUCAAUUCUGUUCCCUAAAACUUGCGUGAAGAAAUGGAAAUAUCAACAUCUUUGUUAUAAACAUGAAAAACAUUAAGAACAAAACAAUGCAUAUAGGAAAGAAACUAACAACAAAUAAAAAUCAAUCAAAUAAUACACAAUCAAUAUUACAUAUAAAAUCACAGUUACCAAGUGCUACACUAUCAAAUUGUCAUCCCAGAGUCUGCAGCAGCUGAAAAACCUUAAAACAACAGAGAUUUGGAUAAAACAUGUCCGGAUCAUGUCUCUCCAAAACCUCCUUUGAGGCUCAGCUGUCCUGUAUGGUCAAAUUGUCAAGCCAAAAGGACUUGAAUACUUUUGUGAUGCAGAAAACACCUGGAUCAAUCACAUCAUCCACGUAGAGCCAGAGCCUGGCCAGAGCUCAAACUCUAAUUGGAGGAUAUGUUUAAAACAAAAGUCUUAAAAAUAACAGUUAUAAGUGAAAAACCUUAUUAUUAACAAUUUAUCAAAACAUCAAAUGAUUGAACCUGUCUAAAAUUUGUUUCAAGACAAAAAUUCUCUAAAUACAACAAACCUUUUCUUCAAAAAUCUGAGAAUUUGAAGUCUGAAAUCUUGAACCAGAACUUGGACUAUAAAUUUUUAAAAGAUGAACUGCAGCUGCAUAGAAAAUUGAAUAAAGAAAACACAUGAGUAGUUAAAAAAUCAAGCACACAGGAUCCUGAAAAAUACAUCUCACAAUCAAUCACCUAAAAAAAAAACCCCCAUAAAACAUAUGAAAACUGACUGUAAAUAUUAAAACAACAUCUCAAUACCUUAACAUCUUAAUAAUAAUUCUUAUCACAAAAAUCAGACAACUUACAUUAUAUGAUCAACCUAUUAACAAAAAAUGUUUAAAAUAGUUUAAAACAAUCUUGUCAAGCAUUCAUAUAACAUUAGUAACAAUCAUUACUAUUUAUCAUUACCUACAAAAACUUGACAAUUAUCAUUUAUCUUAUUAUCUACAAAACUCAAAACAACAUUCCAUUUGACUGAUUUUUCUCAAAUCUUUGCUUUCAAAGACAUUUUUAGCAAUUAAAUAAUUAUUAACAUUUCUAUCCUUUUUUUGUUUUACAGGAAUUUUCAUCCACAUUGUAUUUGAAAUAACUUUGAUUUGCAUAAUGUCCAUCCUUCUUGGUAUCUUGGAAAACACUCAGUAUUGCUAUACUUUUUCAUUACGUCUUUUGUCUCUUGCAAGGAAUUAGAAAAAUGCUGUUGAAAUUUUUGCUGUAGUGUUGCCAUCUCGCCAUCGGUGGCACUGCUGCUCCCGGCGUCGUUGUUACCAUGGCAACCAGGCUGUGCAGCGCCUCCGCCACCAUUGCUGGGCGCUGCGGGGGGGGGGGGGAAAGGGGGGGGGGGGGAACGGGACGGUGCCGUCUCGCUCCCGUCCUUGCUGCGUCACUGUGGGGACGGGCGAGGAGACGCUCCUGAUGCGGCCGCGCCCCGCCUGCUCCGACUCCAGCGCGGCCGAGCCCCGGGGAAUGCCCGUCUCCACCCUUGCGCUGUUGCUCAGCAACAAGGAACCUUCUGUGUCUCGGCCGAAGUCCGCUCCGCCCCGGGGCCGCCUCAGGCUCGGUGCUGGCCGGCCCCGCUCUGCCUGGCCCCGCUCUGCCUGGCCCCGCUCUGCCUUAGUUCUGCCAACCCGUUCCGCAAGGGACGAGGAAGGGCUUUCUGUAACUUUUUCUUGCCUUUGUAUCUUGCUUUGUGAUCGCUUGUUUCUGCUACAAUUGACAUGCCGCGCCAGGUUGCUCGCCGCCGCCGCCGCUGCUGCGGGGGGGCGAGGGGCCAGCACUGCUUCUCUCCCAUCUCUGCCCUCUAUCACUGCGUGCCAAAGCAGCUGGCCCAGCUCUCGCCACUCGGUUUCACUAAAAAGCAGGGAAGGUUUUUGCAGCUUGCCUUUGCUUCUUGCCCAAAUGACCAACUGUUCUAAAUCGGCUUCUUUAACUUUUUCAGCUCUCUUUGAGAGAAUAUGAAAGAGCAGCCGCACUGAAGCCUGUAAAUCUCCAUCCAUGGUGAACUUUCACCCUCUCUUUCUGCACGCGGCUUACCUCAGUCUCCGCGGGUUGCUUCGCUCUCGCUUUUCUUCGGCAAGGCGGCACCCCCGCUCCAGCUCUCCGGCCCCGGCCACGUCCACACCCGCCGUUCAGGUACCUUGUGAACACCGAGGUCUUCCCACUGCUCCAACGGACUCUCGCAAGCAAACAACAAUGCGAAGAGUCUUUUUCCUCCCGUUGGGAAACGGCCCAAUUCGGAGUUUGGAGACUUCUGCUCCGUUCUACCUGAUCCCCGUUCACAAAAAGUGAAUUUGGGAUCCCGGUCCCGUCACCAUGAGGCGAUUUGGACCUAAAUUCCUGUCGCGCGACUCAAACCUGACUGCCCGUUACUCUAAAAGUAAUUUGGCAGCCUUCUCGGAGCCUCCUGAGUCCCUGUGCGGGCGCCACUUAAAGCCAGGGAAUCUCAGAAAAACGGAAAGCUGGACAAGACAAACGCACAUCCAAUCAAUAUGAUUAAUGCAACGUUCUCC
ensembl:lncRNA